rnacentral:tRNA from 13 species
AGGCACCAGCGAGAUUCGAACUCGCGAUCGCCUGUUUACUAGACAGGCGCUUUAACCAACUAAGCCACGGCGCC